CAGGCGGCGAGUGAUAAAAUCCGUCGUCAAGAGGGAAACAACCCAGACUACCAGCUAAGGUCCCUAAAUCUUACUUAAGUGGAAAACGAUGUGAAGUUACUUAAACAACCAGGAGGUUGGCUUAGAAGCAGCCAUCCUUUAAAGAAAGCGUAAUAGCUCACUGGUCUAGUGAUUUUGCGCGGAAAAUAUAACGGGGCUAAAGUAAGUACCGAAGCUGUAGACUUAGUUUACUAAGUGGUAGGAGAGCGUUCUAUUUGCGUCGAAGGUAUACCGGUAAGGAGUGCUGGAGCGAAUAGAAGUGAGCAUGCAGGCAUGAGUAGCGAUAAUUAAUGUGAGAAUCAUUAACGCCGUAAACCCAAGGUUUCCUACGCGAUGCUCGUCAUCGUAGGGUUAGUCGGGUCCUAAGUCGAGUCCGAAAGGGGUAGACGAUGGCAAAUUGGUUAAUAUUCCAAUACCAACAUUAGUGUGCGAUGGAAGGACGCUUAGGGCUAAGGGGGCUAGCGGAUGGAAGUGCUAGUCUAAGGUCGUAGGAGGUUGUACAGGCAAAUCCGUAUAACAAUACUCCGAGAACUGAAAGGCUUUUUGAAGUCUUCGGAUGGAUAGAAGAACCCCUGAUGCCGUCGAGCCAAGAAAAGUUUCUAAGUUUAGCUAAUGUUGCCCGUACCGUAAACCGACACAGGUGGGUGGGAUGAGUAUUCUAAGGCGCGUGGAAGAACUCUCUUUAAGGAACUCUGCAAAAUAGCACCGUAUCUUCGGUAUAAGGUGUGGUUAGCUUUGUAUUAGGAUUUACUCCGAAAGCAAGGAAACUUACAACAAAGAGUCCCUCCCGACUGUUUACCAAAAACACAGCACUCUGCUAACUCGUAAGAGGAUGUAUAGGGUGUGACGCCUGCCCGGUGCUCGAAGGUUAAUUGAUGGGGUUAGCAUUAGCGAAGCUCUUGAUCGAAGCCCGAGUAAACGGCGGCCGUAACUAUAACGGUCCUAAGGUAGCGAAAUUCCUUGUCGGUUAAAUACCGACCUGCAUGAAUGGCGUAACGAGAUGGGAGCUGUCUCAAAGAGGGAUCCAGUGAAAUUGUAGUGGAGGUGAAAAUUCCUCCUACCCGCGGCAAGACGGAAAGACCCCGUGGACCUUUACUACAGCUUGACACUGCUACUUGGAUAAGAAUGUGCAGGAUAGGUGGGAGGCUUUGAGUAUAUGACGCCAGUUGUAUAUGAGCCAUUGUUGAGAUACCACUCUUUCUUAUUUGGGUAGCUAACCAGCUUGAGUUAUCCUCAAGUGGGACAAUGUCUGGUGGGUAGUUUGACUGGGGCGGUCGCCUCCCAAAUAAUAACGGAGGCUUACAAAGGUUGGCUCAGAACGGUUGGAAAUCGUUCGUAGAGUAUAAAGGUAUAAGCCAGCUUAACUGCAAGACAUACAAGUCAAGCAGAGACGAAAGUCGGUCUUAGUGAUCCGGUGGUUCUGUGUGGAAGGGCCAUCGCUCAAAGGAUAAAAGGUACCCCGGGGAUAACAGGCUGAUCUCCCCCAAGAGCUCACAUCGACGGGGAGGUUUGGCACCUCGAUGUCGGCUCAUCGCAUCCUGGGGCUGGAGCAGGUCCCAAGGGUAUGGCUGUUCGCCAUUUAAAGCGGUACGCGAGCUGGGUUCAGAACGUCGUGAGACAGUUCGGUCCCUAUCUGCCGUGGGCGUAAGAAGAUUGAAGAGAUUUGACCCUAGUACGAGAGGACCGGGUUGAACAAACCACUGGUGUAGCUGUUGUUCUGCCAAGAGCAUCGCAGCGUAGCUAAGUUUGGAAAGGAUAAACGCUGAAAGCAUCUAAGCGUGAAGCCAACUCUAAGAUGAAUCUUCUCUAAGCUCUCUAGAAGACUACUAGUUUGAUAGGCUGGGUGUGUAAUGGAUGAAAGUCCUUUAGCUGACCAGUACUAAUAGAGCGUUUGGCUUAUCUUUAAUAAAGCAU
rnacentral:rRNA from 1 species